rnacentral:miRNA from 7 species
GAGCUUUUGGCCCGGGUUAUAC